UCUUCUCUCUUCAGCUCACUCUCCUUCUCGGCGAUCCCUCCGCCGCCGUUGCCGCCGCCGCCACCUCGUCGCGCCUUCCUCCACUUCCGGAGGCAACGAUGUUACUGGGGAAUCGUCCAAGGCCUCCGAUUCGGCGGACCACUAGCUCCACGGAGUUCCCGGCCGGCGUCCUCUUGGACAUCGAGCUCCCUCAGCUGCCGGAUCCGGAAAGAUCGAUAGGAGGCAAAGCCAUUGAUCCGCAUCUAGGAGUGAUGCAGGGAUCGAUCGCCGGAGUCGGGAUGGACUGGCGCGCGGCUAGGUUCAUGGGGUCCAUGCUCUCGCCCCGCGGCGGCGUGCAGAGGAGGGAGCUGUUCGUGUCGCCUGAGGCGGCGGGAUUCUUGAUGGCCUGCAGGCUAUGCAACCGGCGACUAGGGCCCGGCAGGGAUGCCUUCAUGUACCGGGGUGAGAUUGCCUUUUGCAGCCUCGAAUGCCGUCAGCAGCACAUCAACUUAGAUGAGCAGAAAGAGAGAUGCCUCUUGAAUAGUAGUUGAAGAGGGACUGCUUCUUGCGCUGCUUUCAACCAAAUGGAUGUCAUCCAUGAAUUCUACUAUGUUUUUCAACUUCUCUUGGUGCCUAUGUGAAACAUUCAUGAGAUGCGUGCUUCUCCUUUUUUUCAUCAUCACUAAUUCCCAGUGGAGAACAAAGAAUCUAAUGGUGAGAUCAGUGUCAGCUUGCACAUCCUGGGCCCCAUCUUGAAGCUUGAAACAAGGUCAUGCUUGUCAUGGUGAUUUAGAUUGAUGAAUCCUACUAAACAUCUUUCAGGCUAGUGACAGUGAUCAUUGCUUCCCUUCUCUUGUUUACAUCAGACUCUAGUAGACGAGGAAGCCAUUGCAUUUUCCUCGAUAAUUGAAUGAAGAUUGCUUGUGUUACUUUAGGACAGUUUCUUCAAAGCACUGAAAUUUUUACAACUUAAUUAAGAUUUUUUCAA